UACAGAGGUCUCAAGCGUUGUUCGGAUUCAUUGGGCGUAAAGGGUGCGUAGGCGGCGCGGUAAGUCGGGGUGUGAAAUCUCGGGGCUUAACUCCGAAACUGCAUUCGAUACUGCCGUGCUUGAGGACUGGAGAGGAGACUGGAAUUUACGGUGUAGCGGUGAAAUGCGUAGAUAUCGUAAGGAAGACCAGUGGCGAAGGCGGGUCUCGUGGGACAGUUCCUGACGCUGAGGCACGAAGGCCAGGGGAGCAAACGGG
rnacentral:rRNA from 1 species